UCUUCAGUAGUAUAGUGGUUAGCAUUUAUGUCUGUCAUGACUUCAACUCUAGCUUGUGUGAGACCUGGAUUCAAUUCCUGGCUGGAGAG